GAAGAAUAAGCACCGGCUAACUACGUGCCAGCAGCCGCGGUAAUACGUAGGGUGCGAGCGUUAAUCGGAAUUACUGGGCGUAAAGCGUGCGCAGGCGGUCUUGUAAGACAGUUGUGAAAGCCCCGGGCUUAACCUGGGAACUGCAAUUGUGACUGCAAGGCUAGAGUGUGUCAGAGGGGGGUGGAAUUCCACGUGUAGCAGUGAAAUGCGUAGAGAUGUGGAGGAACACCGAUGGCCGAAGGCAGCCCCCUGGGAUAACACUGACGCUCAUGCACGAAAGCGUGGGGAACCAACAGGAUUAGAUACCCUGGUAGUCCACCCCUAAACGAUGUCGACUGGUUGUUG
rnacentral:rRNA from 1 species